rnacentral:lncRNA from 10 species
CCCGGCAGCCCCCGCCACCCCCGGGACGCCCCUCCGCUUCCUCCUCCCGGAGCGGGGGCCCCUGGCCGCGUCUCUCCGCCUUCCCUCCCUAUCCGCGCCCCUAUCCGGCGCGGGCCGCUGCGGAAACGCAGCUCUCCACCCCCAGCUGGCUCUCCCGGACCCCCUGGGCCCCACCCUCAGCGCUCCCCACCGCUCGGCGCCCCUGCGUCUGCGCUCCCCUCUCUCCCCUCUCUAUCCACUGGGUCUGGGCCGCACUUCCCGCCCACCCGCCUGCCAGCGGCCGGGAAGCCUGUGGAAGUUAUGGGGAUGCAGGGAGAGGGGGAGAGGGGAGCUUGUGUGCUAGGGUCUGCAAAGCUCGUCUGCAUCAGACAGGAAUUUUCCCCAGACGCGGGUGCACGUGAAUUAAUUCAUCAGAAGGCGGUUCACGGCCUGAGUGAGGGGGACGAGGGCGGCGAAUUCCUCCGCCUCAUUCCUACCCUGACGAUUCGAGCCUUAGCAAGUUCUGGCCUGUGGAGCCGUCAUCCAGAGCGCACAGCUUCAUGCCCUUGAAGGGCGCAGUGUGUCCCGUGGUGCCCGGUGGGCCCGGACAGAGACCCCAGAGGCUCUGUCUGAAGGAAGCUGCACCCACAGACUCCAUCCAGGCAGCGCGGGCGCGGUCCUGUCGCCUACCUUUCUCGGAAGCCAUCUGCCCAUGUGAAUCUAUGUGAAGGCCCUUCAUGCGCUCCUGGACAUCUGCGUGGGAUUUACUUCAACUGCUAUCGCUGCGAGGAGGACGAGCAUGUUUCACUGUAUUUUUAGCAGAGAGUGCAGAUUUUAGAACCUCGCGAACGGUCCUGUAUCUCCUGCACGAUGACUCUCCAGAACAGGAAUAGUGACCCUUCCUUUGCAUUUAUGGUGCAUAGGUUUUCAAAGGACAGUGUGUAAAUCAGCUUGUGUAAUAAUUGUGGCACCCACGCGCGCAAGCAGACUUACCAUGAGCUGACUUCCACUGAUUAUUUCAGUUUCCAGGGAAACGAGGUUUGCAGCCCCCUCCAGUGAGGGCGGAGCGGCCUCUCCAUUCCCAAUGCAGCAAGGCUGCUGCAGCCACGAUGAUUAGGCUUUGGAGGAGGAAGUGAACGGAUGGGGCCUCAUCCUCCUGCCUCCCUAAAGGGUGAGGGUGGAAGGAUGGGGCUGUGCCCUCUUAGGGCAGGGAAAAACAGCUUGGAGGGGUUUCUGCCAUCAGAGAUCCCAUAGGAGGCAGGUCAGUCCUGCAGAAUUUCUCCCCAGUCUGGCCUCCAGCCUCCCUGGCCCCUUUCUAGAGGCCUCCAUCCCACUGGCGGCUUGCUCCUGCCACCGGGCCUCUGCACAGUCACCUCCUGCAGCCUGGGGUGUGUCGCCUCUCCACGUCCUCACCGGCGUCUGCCUUUGCAUUUCCCAGAUGCUCGCUUCACCCCACUGAGAUGUAACUCAGUUUUGUGGGAUCCCACUGCCCUCCAGGUGCCGCUCCGAGUGCUCUACACAGAUUUUCAUUCAGUCCUUGCGGCACACGAAGGUAGGCGGCCCCACUGCCCUCACAGAGGCUUCCCAUGCAGGAGCCAGUGACUGGCGGAGCGCCGCUCACACUCAGGCUCCGCGAACUGCCUCCCUGCCCUCCCCUGCCCCGGACAGACGGUCCUCCAUAAGAGGCAGGAUUUCCCUGUGGUCCAAAGGUGUGUGUCCCUGCCACAUUGGGAGUUCAGCUCACUGCGGUCCUGUCCAGCUUGCCCCCGUCUCCCAUCCACAUCAGGAUCUGGCUUUGCCCCAGCUAUGUGGAAUGAGUGCAUGAACAAAUGAAUGGGUGGGUUGCUCCAUCUUGUGACAGGACAGCAAAGUCAGCUGGUUCUGCUCCUACGGCGCUCAGGGUCAGGUGAGACAGGCCGGCCCGCAGGCAGACAGGCCCUCAUCUCUGUAUUGGGGGUGGGGAAGGGGCUCUGGCAGGGCGCAUGCCCCAGCAGCAGGAACGUCAAGAGCAGAGGCCCUGGAGGAGACAGCCCGGAGCUGGCGCACAGUAAAGUCUUCAGAUAGGAGGGGCAGAGUGAGGGUGCCACCGUCGGGCAGCAGGUGCCCACCCAGAAGGGUCUUUGAGCCUUGCGGGGAAGUUCAGACUUUACCCUGAGGAUAAAGGAGGUCCUGGACCCGCAGGAGGAUGCCCUGGUGGGUCUAGAAGGAGCCCUGCCACUGGGGAGCUGGUGGGGUUUCCGCCCUCACGGUGCAAUCACAGGGUUGCCUGCUUAUCUCCCCCGCCCUUUUCCCAUCACUUCCUGAGACUCUGCAGAUGGUCAGCAGUGUUCCUGAGUGGAUGACAUUGGGUGGGCAGAGAGAGGGGAGGGCAGUCUGUGGUCCCAGUCAUGUAGAGCUUCCUUGUACAGUCUGUGGUCCCAGUCAUGUAGAGCUUCCUUGUACAGUCUGUUGAGCUCACAUACCCUCAAUGGCCCUUCACUCACAGGGAUGGCCUCUGCACUUCAGCUGGUUUCUGACACCUAAAAACAGAAGUGGAAAAGGGAGCAGACGCAGCCACAUUUUGAAAGCUGAUUCGGUUGCUUUCUGGCAGAAUCCCUGCCCCCAAGCACCUGCCAGGCCCACCCAUGAAGCCUCUUCCCACGCCUUAACUCUGCCCCAUGAGGGGACCUCAAGCAGUUGCAGUCUAGUCAGGUGAUUUGCAGAGCUCAGGGCUCAGGGAGGGGCACCCACCUCAGAAAAAAGCGCCGUGCUCAUGAGAAAUGACUUCUACAGGUUGUUGGGGAAAGAGGAGUUAUUUUAAAGAUCACAGAGCCCGUGAUGUGCCAGGCGCACCCACACAGGGCAUAUAGUCCCCGCAGCUGCCUCUGUGCUGGGGCCACGUCACCGUCCUGUCCUAAAGACAAGCAAUGUGAAGCCCAGAGAUGGUAUCUUAAAACAAUCGUGUGGUUUUUUUCUGAUUACAACAGCAAUUGUGUUAAUCCAACAAUAUUUUUCCUAUCAACUGUAAACCUUAUUUUAAUAUUUACAUAUUUAUUAGCAUUUAAAAUUCAAUCUCCUAGAAUAUUGACUUCAAUUAGUUUGGCUGAUUCUAAUUUUUUUUUUCUAAUUUGUUUAUCACUUAACUUUUUAAGUACUUUUUUUUUUUAGACAGAGUCUUGCUCUGUCACCCAGGCUGGAGUGCAGUGGUGCAAUCUCGGCUCACUGCAACCUCUGCCUCCUGGGCUCAAGCGAUUCUCCUGCCUCAACCUCCCGAGUAGCUGGGACUACAGGCUCACACCACCAUGCCCAGCUAAUUUUUAUAUUUUUAGUAGAGAUGGGGUUUCACCAUGUUGUCCAGGCUGGUCUCGAACUCCUGACCUCAAGUGAUCCCCCACCUCAGCCUCCCAAAGUGCUGGGAUUACAGGUGUGAGCCACCGUGCCUGGCCUGUUUUUAGUACUUUUAUCCUUUAUCUUUUUAACUACGUAAGUACUCAACAUUUUAAAUUAUUAAUCUUCACCAUGUUAUUUCCAAGAACAAUCACGAUUGAUCUUUCAGUUACACAGCCACGGUGUGUGCCUCUCUGUGUAACUCUGCACAGCUGGUGAUUUACUGAAAGAACUUACUCUCAUAAAACCACAGCCAGCGAGUUCUCAGAGACACAAUAAUGCACCUUAAUUAUGAGUUUAAAAGCUCUUGUCUUGUGAAAUGUAAUCGAUCCACAGAAAAAUCAUAAAGUAUACAUGUAAUAGCUUAAUGACUUAUAAAUGAAGAUCUGUAUACUUCCCACUCGAAAAACGGAAUAUUGCAGGAUUUGAGUACACAACCCGUACCUUUCCAACGACAGCCUCCCUCCCACCAGAGCUUCUGCUGAGUUCACUUGAAAUCACUUCCUUGCAUUUAUUUAUACUUUUAUUACCUUGAGGUGCAUCCCUAACCAUUCUAGUUCGAUUUUGCCUGGUGUUUGAACUUUAUAUUAAUGGAAUCAUAGGACAUAAUUCUUAUAUCUCUGGUUUCUUUCAUUCAACUUUGUGUCUGCGAAAUGUAUCCAUGUUGCAUGCAACGGGGGCUCAUUCAUCGCUGGUUACUGAUUCACUGCAUGAGUAUGACACAGUUUAUUAACCAUUUCACUGCUGAUGAACAUUUGAUCAUUUCUAGUUUGGGAAUAUUAUUAAUAAUUUUUGAACCUUCUUAUUUGUGUGCCCUGAUGUACAUGGACAUGCAUUUUAGGGGUGUAUACUUAGGGAAAUUGCCGGUUCAUGAGUAACACCUAUCUUCAGGUAUUACUUUUUGUGCCCUUUUAUGCUGAACUACAAUUUACGUGCAAUACCAAUCAUUCAUAUUAAGUGUACAACUCAGUGAGUUUAGACAACUGGACACCUUGUUGUGAGUCACCACCACCGAGAUGAUCCAGCACUGUCCCAACUCCCCCCAAGUUCUCCUUUGCAGGCACCCUCUCCCUCCAUUCUGGGCACAGGCAACCAUGAACCACUAUCUGUCACCGUAGCUUUAGUAUAAAAUUUCACAUACAUGGACUCAGGGAGCAUAGAGUCUUUCCUGUCUGGCUUCUUUCCGCUGGCAAAAUGCUUGGAGACUUUUCCACGUUGCUGCAUGAAUCAAUGGAUCAUUUGUUUUCGUGGCUGAGCAGAAUUCCACCAACAUUUGUUUACUCAUCCAUGAAAUGAUGGACAUUUGGUGUUUUUCCAUUGAGAUUGUUAUGAAUAAUGCUGCUAUUGUCAUUCAAGGACAAGUCUUCUGUGAACAUCUGUUUUCACUUCUCUUGGGUACAUCCUUAGAAGUGGUAUUGCUGGACUGUAUCAAAAGUUAAUAUUUAACUUUCAGGAAACUUACAAACUGUUUUCCAGAGUGGCUGUACCAUUUUGCAUUCCCAGACCGAAGUGUGAAAGCUCCAGAUGCCCCACGCCCUCACCAGCCCACGGUGUUGUCAGCCUUAAUAGUGCUGACCAUUCUGCCUGUUAAUAUGAUGAAUUACACUGAUUCAGUUUCAAAUGUCCAACCAAGCUUGCACUCCAGAGAUGAAGCCCACUUGAUCACAUGGAUUAUUCUUUUAAUAUAUGAUGGAUACGACUUGGCUGUUCUUUUGUUGAGGAUUUUUGUGUUUAUGUUAAUGAGGAUAUUAUUUGUAGUUUUCUUUUCUUGUAAUGUUUUUGUCUUUGUUCAGUGUCAGAGUAAUGCCAACUUCAUAAAGUGAGCUGGGAAGUACUCCCUCAUUUUCUGUUUUCUGUGAAAGAAUUGUAUAGAAUUGAUGUUAUUUCUUCCUUAAGUGUUGAGUAGAAUUCACUUGCAAAGCCAUCUGAGGUUGACAUCUUCUUUGGGAAUGACUUUAGCUAUAAAUUCAAUUUAUUUAACAGAUAUAGGGCUAUUAAGGUUAUUUAAUUUUUUUCUUGAAUGAGCUUUAGUGUCCUGUGUUUUUCAAGGAAUUUUUCCAUUUUAUUUAAGUUUUUAGAUUUGUUGGCAUAAAGUUAUCCCAAUAUUUCCUUAGAAGUUGUGACUUUUACUGCAUAUAAAACAUACCUCAAUAAAGCUAAUACAUACAUAUAUAUAUAUGAAUCAUUUCUGGCCAGGUACAGUGGCUCAUGCCUGUAAUCCCAGCACUUUGGGAGGCAGAGGCAGGUGGAUCACCUGAGAUCAGGUGUUCCAGACCAGCCUGGCCAACAUGGGAAACCUGUCUCUACUAAAAAUACAAAAAUUAGCCAGGUGUGGUGGCAUGCCCCUGUAAUCCCAGCUACUUAGGAGGCUGAGACAGAAGAAUCGCUUGAAUCCGGGAGGUGGAGUUUGCAGUGAGCUGAGAUUGCACCACUGCACUCCAGCCUGGGCAACAGACUGAGACUCCAUCUCAAAAAAAAAAAAAAAAAUCCCUUUUUAUCUAAAGGAUCUGUAGUGAAGUCCCCUCUUUCAUUUCUGAUAUUGGUAAUUUGUGGGGUUUUUUUGUUUU